CCUACCCCCUUGGGUUGCGGUUUCUUCCUUUAAAUUCCCCUUGUCUUAGCUACUAGGGGUCGAACUCCACUGCCCCUGCAUGGGAUACGAGUCUCGACCCCAGUGCACUGGUUCCUAUCGAUAAACCUCAUGUGAUUACAGCAAAGAUGGUCUUGUGUGAGUUCUUGGGGGGUCAUGUCAUCCCGAGACUUGAGUGAGGGUCUGUCUCCCUGCUCUGGGGGUCUUUCAACACAUGUGGACAGACACAGCUACAGGGACAGAUCCAGUCCCCUAUGACAGUCAGGGGAGGAUGGUAGACACGGGAUGUGAGGUAGAGAAUGCAGAUCUGGACCUGCUGUUGGUUAAAUGAGAGCUGAACACCUACCUAUAUGCAGACAAGGCCUGGCUCGAGUGGUCACAGCAGCCUGAGUGAAAGAUUUUGCAUGGUUGCACUGUAUUCUGUCUGGGCCACCAAAUGUGCCAGGAUUGACGAGUCCAAGGUGCAGGGUUCAAGGGUCAAGACAGAUAUAAAGGAUGUCAGAAAACCUGCUGGGACUAGGGUACGGCUUUGUGAGGGGCUAGCCUUGAAAGCAGAAGGGGCGAGCUUGGUGGCCAGCAUGCACAUAAAAAGCUGGGCUCUUUCCUAUAACUUCAGAUCCAUGCAUGUCAUAGCUCAUUUUCUCAUCUGAUCUGGGAGUUCCCUCCUACUCGCUGUUCAGGGAAAUUGCAUUCAGCCAUAGCUCAUUUUACUGUUAGUCGCUUUCCCCCCUCAAGAUAUGGUUUUCAUGUGUAACAGCUCUGCUGUACUGGAGCUCUUUCUAAGACCAGGUUGGCCUCAAACUCGGCUCUGUCUGCCUCUGCCUCCUGAGUGCUGUAGCUUAGGGAGUAUGCCGUCCACCGUACGUACCUAGACUAGUCACUCACUUUUAAAUGGUAAAUCUUUCUAAACCUAAACUGUGUUAUAAUUGGGUUAACACAAAAUCUUAGUACUGGCACUGUCUGUCUGUCUGUCUGUCUGUCUGUCUGUCUGUCUGUUUUAAAGAUUUAUUUAUUUAUAUAUAUAAGUCCACUGUCGCUCUCUUCAGACACACCGGAAGAGGGCAUCAGGUCUCAUUACAGAUGGUCUGGUGCCCUCUUCUGGCCUGUAGUUGCAUACAUGCAGGCAGAAAGCUGUAUGAUGUAUACAUAAUAAAUAAAUAUUUUUUAAAAAAGAGGAAGACAGAAACAUACAAAAAUAGUUUUCUGGGGAA
rnacentral:lncRNA from 1 species